UACAGGGGGUGCAAACGUUGCUCGGAAUCAUUGGGCGUAAAGCGCACGUAGGCGGUUCGUUAUGUCGGAUGUGAAAGCCCCUUGGCUUAACCGAGGAAGUGCAUCCGAAACUGGCGAGCUAGAGUACGAAAGAGGAUCGCGGAAUUCCCGGUGUAGAGGUGAAAUUCGUAGAUAUCGGGAGGAACACCGGUGGCGAAGGCGGCGAUCUGGGUCGAUACUGACGCUGAGGUGCGAAAGCGUGGGGGAGCAAACAGG
rnacentral:rRNA from 1 species